rnacentral:misc_RNA from 1 species
AAAGUCGUAACAAGGUCUCCGUAGGUGAACCUGCGGAGGGAUCAUUCACAUGAUUACUUUAUUUAACAAACUGUGAACUUUAUAUACUAUUCGUGUGUUGUUGUCUUGUUGAGAUUUAUCUUGACACACAUCAACACAUUGUCAUUCGAUUGAACAUAAGAUAGUUGGCUUGAAUUUUAAUUAAUUCUCUCUCAGCUUUGAUUUGAUUUGAAAACUAAACAUUUUUAAUCAAUCAACCAUAAACAUAGAAACAACUCUAUGCCCUGGAUAUCUUGGUUCUC